UUCCGUGGCUUCCUCGAGACGAAGGGCUGCAGAGUGCGGCCUGCAGACCUGCCUGUUUUGUAAACAAAGUUUUACUGGAACAACCGUGACCAUUUGUUCAGUGUCCGUAGCAUUCAACAGAUUUGAGUAUUUGCAACAGAUACUCUAUGUCCUAAAAAACCUAAAAUAUUUACUGUCUGGCCCUUUACAGGAAAAAGUUUACCCACUCCUACUCUAGGUCCAUAAUGCCAACUUGAGAUGAAAUUUCAGAUGUCCAGUUGUCUUUCUGGGUACAGAUCAGUGAUCCUUCUCUGACUAGGUACACUAGAACUUACCUCUUUUUAGAAAGAUGUUGUUAUAAGUGUUAUCGCAUCCGGCUCCUUUAUGGGCCCCAAUUCCCAUGGCAGUGGGUCUAGGAAACUACGUACAACAUGUAUCACCUGGGCUGACCUUAGUCUUAUUUCUGACAGUUCUGAGAUAAAUAGAUGGUAUAUAUACGUCAUCAGUCGAUGAUAGAUGACAUCAGCAGAUGAUAGAAAAUUUAUAUCUAAGAGCUGUUUCAUUAUCAGCAAUUUUAAGCAAAUCUCAGUCUUACUCCAGACACCUCCUAACGUGUUCUGCUAUAAUAAGACCUCAUUUUAUUCCAAUAUUUUGACAUUCUACCGUCUAGAGCUUUCAUGCUUCAGGCAGGGUGGAAGAUGAAAAAUCGUUACACCCUAAGCCCGUGGUAGGUGUUAACUGUUGCUGACGUGAGUUCACAGGGUACAGAUGUUUCUGGACAGAAACCCUGGGUGGGGGAAGUCUCAGCAACUGAUGACUCGGGCUUCGUGUAAUCCCAUAUGGAUGAGCCAGGAAGUGGAACGGUUAUCAAAAGGGGAGGAUGGAUAAGCCUGCAGCAUAAUCAAAUGGAAAAGCUCAACUGAGGAGGAAACUGGCAAACCAUACUAAGAGGCAACCUGUCCGGAAAAGCCAGUAUCCACUCUCUACCGGAGGGGGUGGAGGAAGCUGGGGGGCAGGGAGUAAGGGUUCCCCCAUAACACGCACUUGUCGGUGAUGAGAGCCACGGUCCCAGCCUUCAGAUCCGGUUCCGCCCUCAGCGCCUUCUCGCCUCCCCGCAGCCCUGUAGCCCCUCCCCCGCUUCACUGGGGCAGUUACUGCUGGGCCACGUCCACAGCCAGAGAGAUGUCUCAUCACUCGGUCAGGCUUGCAGCGCCCCUCAGCCCUGACCCCUGCAACAGCUUCCUACCAGGACGUGUUGGAGCGGCCUUGGAGUCCGAGAAGCAGGCGAGGGAGGAGGGAGGGGGACUUCAAAGGGCCCUCCUUCGCUGGGUCUGGCCCGGAGCUGCACAAUUGGCCCCUGGGGAAGAAGGGAAGGGGUGCUGUGCCCCAUCCUUCUGAUUCAUGGCCUCUCAGGCGCCCUGUUCUCAUUUCCUGCCCACAUUUAGGCUCUUCUAGCUCUGAACCCCAGUGAGAGGGUUGUGAUCGCAUUGCCUUCUCCUCUCCGGGGACCCUGUGUAAAUUUGUAGCUGCCAAUGGUGGGGACCCUCUCCCCUUAUCUGCUUCCAAUCCUCAGGGCCUGGUGAAGGAACAGUAUCCUUGCAAUGCUCUCCAGGACCCCUGGACCCACUUUGUCCAGCAACAAAGAGAGUCCAUCCCCAAGGUGAAUUAUGGAGUCUCCAACCACUUAUAGAAACAGAACCAGCUCACAACGUCAAGGACACAGCGGCAGAUUAAAAGAGCAAAAAGACAAAGGAAAACAUUCAAGUUCCAUUGCUACUGGACCCUGCCCACUCAAGUUUUUGGGCCAAACUAAGUUCCCCCAAGAUUCCAGCCAUUCAUGCCUCAGCCUGCUGGACUAGGAAUAUGCAUGGGAUUGCUUUCUGAGGGGUGAGGGGCUCUGGCUUUUCACAGAGUAACAGUGAUGCCUGGUGAGUUUCAGGGCUGCAGCCCAGCCUCUGAGCUCCCAGACCUUCAGGCCAUGAUCAAACCCAAAUCCACCCAGAAAGAGCCCCACGGACACACACGUCAGCCUCUGCCAAGGGUGAGGGCGCUGGAACACCUGCUGGAGGCUGCUGGGAGUUGCUGGCCUCCCUGUAGGGGCUUGAAUGUUGUCCCCCCGAAAUUCAUGUCCACCUGGAAGCUCCGAAUGUGACCUUAUUUGAAAAUAGGGUCUUUGCAGAUAUAAUUAGUCAAGACCUUGAGAUGAAAUCAUCAAACAAUGACGGUGUCUUUCUAGGAAGAGGAGAGGACACACAGAGGGAAGAGGGCCAUGUGAAGACAGGGGAUCGGAGUGACGUAGCUGCCAACCAUGGACGCUGAGGCUCUCUGGAAGCACAGAAGCUGGGAAGCAGAAGGGAGGAUUCUUCCCUGGAACCUGAAGAAAAAGCAUGGCCUUACCAACACUGAUUUCAGACAUCUGGCUUCCAGAACCUCAAGAGAACAAAUUUCUGUUGUUUCAAGCCACCAAGUUUGUGGUCAUUUGUUACGACAGUCCUGGCAAACUAAGACACCUGCACUGAGCAAAAAGGAGGACACGGAAUUCCUCAGGGACUUCAAGUUGUAGGGCUGACGUCCCCCUUCUUCACCCAGAACAGUAAGAAUUCUGACUCCAUUCCCCCAUUCUUUUGUGGCUGGGCUGGAGGAGGCCUUCAGCCUGCAUUUGUUUUACUGAAUCUGCUUUGUCAGGGAAGAACCCACUUUUCCAAAAAGAAAGGAACGGUUUUCAGUUGCACUUCUGGACCUAGAAAUUUCAUUGUCAACCAGACUGACAUAACCAGGCUCCCUGCUUUCUGUUCCCGACUGCCUCUUUUCAGCAGCGCUCCUGAUGCUUUGCUGGCAUUUCUUUCCACUGCCCUCUGCUGAUCAGGCAGAACCAGGGACAACAGCAAUUCCAGAACCCACAGCCCAGGGAAGUCCCACUUGGUAGUCAAAGCCAUCCAGACCCAUGAUUCUGGCUUGGGGAAGAUUCCAGAGUUGGGGAUUCUCUGUGGUUUUAACUUUCCAGGCUUCUGGAACCAAGAAUACCUUUAGUCAGUUUAUCCCAAUAUGUGUUCCUCAGAACUGUAAUGUCCUGCAAAAUAUUAGUAAAUAUUUUUUAAACAUCAUAGUCAAAUAAGUUUGCGAACUGCCAAAAUAAAUAUAGUUAAACAAA